GACGCUCUCUCUCUCUCUCUCUCUCUCUCUCUCUCUCUCUCUCUCUUCUCCAGCUUUCUUUUUGUUUGAAAAGAAGCAACGCCUUCAGAUCUGGCGAUCUGUGAUCGCUACCCUGAAAACGUCGCUCGAUGCCACUGCACCCGAACGCGUUUGCUAUCUCCGCUGCACUCGAUCGGGCAUAAUUGAAGUGCAUAGAAGGAUUUUUAUUUUAUUUUUUUCCAUUCAUCAAUUGCUUGAAGGUGGUGUAAAAUAUUCGUUUCUUUGGUGAAUGAUUUUAUGCAGUUCUGCCUUUCAGGAACAAACCACUCCCAGUUUUUUGUAUCUUUGAUUUUAACUUGUCAAUGUCAUUGUCAAUUUAAUACAAAAUCCAUGUUCACCUGCAGUGUUGAUGGGCAGGUAGCCAAGGACAUAUAACUGCUAGAUUCCAUUGCUGAGAAGCAACCCCAAAUCUUCUCUGAAGAAUGCAAGUAUUAUUGAAGUAAAGAGUUUGAUUUUUUUUCACCGGAGUUUGAAGAUGAGAUCAUAAUGCUGGUUGAUUUACUUGAUGCCUUUGCCUUUUGGAUGGAUUGAAGAUUUUUGGGGUCCUAAUGCAUUUGGUUUAUUUUGACUUUUGUUACUGAAUAUUUAUUGGAUGUUGCAGGUAAUUAGCACAUGGGAUGACCAAAAAUGAGUGAUGCCCCAUUGGUUUGACCUGGAAAAUUUAUUAUAACUAACCUUUUCAAGUAAUUGGAUGAUUCAUAUGAUCCAGUAACAUUUGUUGUUUCAUGUCUACUUGUUGAGGC